rnacentral:rRNA from 1 species
AGAGUUUGAUCAUGGCUCAGAUUGAACGCUGGCGGCAUGCCUAACACAUGCAAGUCGAACGGCAGCACAGCAGUAGCAAUACUGUGGGUGGCGAGUGGCGGACGGGUGAGGAAUGCAUCGGAAUCUGCCCAGUCGUGGGGGAUAACGUAGGGAAACUUACGCUAAUACCGCAUACGACGGAGACGUGAAAGCGGGGGAUCGCAAGACCUCGCGCGAUUGGAUGAGCCGAUGCCGGAUUAGCUAGUUGGUGGGGUAAAGGCCCACCAAGGCGACGAUCCGUAGCUGGUCUGAGAGGACGAUCAGCCACACUGGGACUGAGACACGGCCCAGACUCCUACGGGAGGCAGCAGUGGGGAAUAUUGGACAAUGGGGGCAACCCUGAUCCAGCAAUGCCGCGUGUGUGAAGAAGGCCUUCGGGUUGUAAAGCACUUUUAUUGGGAACGAAAAGCGGAGGGCUAAUACCCAUCCGUGCUGACGGUACCCGAUGAAUAAGCACCGGCUAACUUCGUGCCAGCAGCCGCGGUAAUACGAAGGGUGCAAGCGUUAAUCGGAAUUACUGGGCGUAAAGCGUGCGUAGGCGGUUUCUUAAGUCUGCUGUGAAAGCCCUGGGCUCAACCUGGGAAUGGCGGUGGAUACUGAGAAGCUGGAGUACGGUAGAGGAAGGUGGAAUUCCCGGUGUAGCGGUGAAAUGCGUAGAGAUCGGGAGGAACAUCAGUGGCGAAGG